UACGGGGGAUGCAAGCGUUAUCCGGAUUUAUUGGGUUUAAAGGGUGCGUAGGCUGUGAGGUAAGUCAGCGGUGAAAUGCCCCCGCUCAACGGGGUGAAGUGCCAUUGAUACUGCCUUGCUGGAAUGCGGAUGCCGUGGGAGGAAUGUGUGGUGUAGCGGUGAAAUGCAUAGAUAUCACACAAAACACCGAUUGCGAAGGCAUCUCACGAAUCCGCGAUUGACGCUGAUGCACGAAAACGUGGGUAUCAAACAGG
rnacentral:rRNA from 1 species